UACGGAGGGUGCAAACGUUGCUCGGAAUCAUUGGGCGUAAAGCGCACGUAGGCGGCCUGUUAAGUCGGAUGUGAAAGCCCCGGGCUCAACCCGGGAAGUGUAUACGAAACUGGCAGGCUUGAAUAUGGAAGAGGGUCGCGGAAUUCCCGGUGUAGAGGUGAAAUUCGUAGAUAUCGGGAGGAACACCAGUGGCGAAGGCGGCGACCUGGGCCAAUAUUGACGCUGAGGUGCGAAAGCGUGGGGAGCAAACAGG
rnacentral:rRNA from 1 species